AGAGUUUGAUCAUGGCUCAGAACGAACGCUGGCGGCGUGCUUAACACAUGCAAGUCGAACGCGAACGGUUCCUUCGGGGACUUAGUAGAGUGGGCGCACGGGUGAGUAACGCGUAAGUAAUCUACCCUCGCAUCGGGAAUAACCCACCGAAAGGUGUGCUAAUACCGGAUACGUCUGGGAUAAUGACUUUUUUUCAGAGAAAGGCAGCCUCUGUUUACAAGCUGUCGUGCGGGGAUGAGCUUGCGUACCAUUAGCUAGUUGGUAGGGUAAGGGCCUACCAAGGCGACGAUGGUUAGCGGGUCUGAGAGGAUGAUCCGCCACACUGGAACUGGAACACGGACCAGACUCCUACGGGAGGCAGCAGUGAGGAAUAUUGCGCAAUGGGGGCAACCCUGACGCAGCGACGCCGCGUGGAUGAUGAAGGCCUUCGGGUUGUAAAAUCCUGUCAGAUGGGAAGAACGGUAGGAGGGUUAACAGCCCUGUUAUUUGACGGUACCAUCAAAGGAAGCACCGGCUAACUCCGUGCCAGCAGCCGCGGUAAUACGGAGGGUGCAAGCGUUGUUCGGAAUUACUGGGCGUAAAGCGCGCGUAGGCGGCUCUUUAAGUCAUUUGUGAAAGUCCACGGCUCAACUGUGGAAGUGCAUGUGAAACUGGAGAGCUUGAGUACUGGAGGGGGUGGUGGAAUUCCCGGUGUAGAGGUGAAAUUCGUAGAUAUCGGGAGGAAUACCGGUGGCGAAGGCGACCACCUGGCCAGAUACUGACGCUGAGGUGCGAAAGCGUGGGGAGCAAACAGGAUUAGAUACCCUGGUAGUCCACGCCGUAAACGAUGUCAACUAGGCGUUGGGAUGGUUAAUCGUCUCAUUGCCGCAGCAAACGCAUUAAGUUGACCGCCUGGGGAGUACGGUCGCAAGAUUAAAACUCAAAGGAAUUGACGGGGG
rnacentral:rRNA from 1 species